rnacentral:rRNA from 1 species
UACGUAGGGCGCAAGCGUUGUCCGGAAUUAUUGGGCGUAAAGAGCUCGUAGGCGGCUUGUCACGUCGGGUGUGAAAGCCCGGGGCUUAACCCCGGGUCUGCAUUCGAUACGGGCUAGCUAGAGUGUGGUAGGGGAGAUCGGAAUUCCUGGUGUAGCGGUGAAAUGCGCAGAUAUCAGGAGGAACACCGGUGGCGAAGGCGGGUCUCUGGGCCGAUACUGACGCUGAGACACGAAAGCGUGGGUAGCAAACAGG